rnacentral:rRNA from 1 species
UAUUGGACAAUGGGCGAAAGCCUGAUCCAGCAAUGCCGCGUGAGUGAUGAAGGCCUUAGGGUUGUAAAGCUCUUUUACCCGGGAUGAUAAUGACAGUACCGGGAGAAUAAGCUCCGGCUAACUCCGUGCCAGCAGCCGCGGUAAUACGGAGGGAGCUAGCGUUGUUCGGAAUUACUGGGCGUAGAGCGCACGUAGGCGGCUUUGUAAGUUAGAGGUGAAAGCCUGGAGCUCAACUCCAGAAUUGCCUUUGAUACUGCAUCGCUUGAAUCCAGGAGAGGUGAGUGGAAUUCCGAGUGUAGAGGUGAAAUUCGUAGAUAUUCGGAAGAACACCAGUGGCGAAGGCGGCUCACUGGACUGGUAUUGACGCUGAGGUGCGAAA